rnacentral:tRNA from 1 species
GAGACAGUAGCUCAACUGGAAGAGCACCUGCUUUGCAAGCAGGGGGCUGGAAGUUCGAACCUUCCCUGUCUCACCA